UGGAAUGAGGGAUUUGGAUGAAACCAACCAGCAGGCGUUAUCAAAUUGAUGCAAAUACUGCUGAAAUAAGUAUGUUAAAUAAGUAAAUAUCAUUUGUAAUUGUCAGCCAAUCCUAAACAUGAGUUGUUCUUAUUAGCUGUCAAUCACAAUAUGUGAUUUGAUAUGUCUAGUAGAAAGAGGAAAAGAUUUAAACUGAAAUAAAGUCAACCUUAUACACUUUGAAGAAACCAAAUGCUAGAUAUGUUAAAAAUGUUUCUUAAAUUUAGCAACAAAUUAGAGUAAGUCUAGACAAUGUCUCUCUUAUGCACUGUUUAGGGAAAUCUGCAUUUGUGUGAUCUAUGCUUAUGUUCUUCCUGCCACAAUGAUUACAUUAUUAAUUCAUCUAGAACAGAGUCAGAGUCCAGAUCAUUUUAUUUAUUGUCUUAGAUUUGUGGUUUUAUAUUUUGAUGCUCUAUAUUUGAGACAUUUCUUACAAUAAUUCUAGAAUUCCAAUAUUUGGAUAUUCUUCAGAAUUAAGGAUCUACUUAUCAUCUUAAAAUUAAAAGACUAUCUACAUCAGAUAAUAAUUUGUCCAAAAAGGUAAUUAUUGUGACAGGUGUACCUCUUACUCAGAUAUAUUAUACUAAAGCAAUAUUCAUAGUAUGUGGACCAGAGAUAGUCUCUGAUUUACCUUUCUCUGUCUGAGCUCUGCAUGCCUUCAUUUCUUUCUCUCUCUGAACUCUUCCUCCUCCAUCUCCUCUCUGGGAUGUUCUUCCUCCUCUCUUCUUUUAGGCUGGGAAAAGCUGCUGCUGGUUCCCCUCCUCUUCAUUCUUUACCGUCUCCUACAAGAAUCACACUGACUGAACUAUGUUUUUCCUUUGAUAAUUUUCAUUAUUAACUAUGAUACAAUCUGAUGUGUACAAUUUAAACCUUUAAAGAGAUACUUAACAUGUAAACGUUUUUUCAGCUGUAAACUAAAUGAUAUGACUGUACUAUGAUGAAACACAUCAAUGUUGGUGUUAUUAUGACCUUGACACCAAAAUGAUAAAAACCAGCAUUAAAUAAGCAGGAUGUAGUUUUAAACAGUGCAUGAAAACCUGGUGUGACUGGGGGUUUAGUUACACUUUAAUGUCAUGUAAAGUCUUAGUGAAUGUGUGAUUUAUUUUGACUUACAGUCUGUUGUCAGAACCACAGGCUGUAAUUAUCCAAAAAAAAAAAAUAGAAAAACUUCCACAGACGAUCCCCCACCAUCCUUCUGUGGCUGUUCUCUAACAUUAGCUAGCUACAGAAGUAAAAAUUAGCAAGGCCCAGGCUCACUGGAAACUGUGGCUUGUCUCGCAAGCAAACACUUUAUGUGAAUUUAGACACUAUUAGCAUUUAAUACAUUGUGAACAGUUAUAUUAGCAUGUAGUCUAACCCAGUCUAACUAGUGUCUUACUGCCACACCGAAGUCCAGCUGUCAUCCACAUGAGUGAGGUCUAAGAGCAGCCCCCUCAGGGGGGCGUGUCACCUCUGUAGCAGCGUAGACUGUACAGGACGUGACGUCACAUGGUGCAUUCGAAAGCACUCGGACAUCGGAGUUUCACUCGUUAUUCGUCUUUCCUGGACUUUCACUCUUUACGGCUGGCCACAAACUUUCAUAUACGUAUUUUUGAAUUAGAUCGUUCAGAACUGGGGAGGCAGCCGGGGUGGCAAGACAUCUUCUAGGGGUGGCAGUUGCCACCCUAUGCCACCCCAGUAGAUCCGCCCCUGUGCACUUGAGAUUUUCAAAGCGUGAUUUGCAUAAAGAGCAGCUGGAAACCGGAGGAGUUUAGUUUGUGUCCUUCAGAAGCCAAAAGGAGAAAACGUCUGAACUCUGAGCUUUAUUUGUAGAUGUGAGGAAACAGUUUGUGUUUUCCUGCUGUCGCCUGCAGCUCCGACGAGUGGAGGAUUAAAAGUGACUGUUAAUCACGUCGUUCGACAGGAAUCGAAGCGUCGCUGAUUGGAGGGAAUAAAAGCAGCGGCAGCAGCCUGAGGAGUGCUGCUGACUGAAUGAGAGCAGCGUGAUGGACACUCUGCAGCUUCGGAUUAAACCGUCUGCAGCGUUCAGGGAACAGAAGGGUGGUAAAAAUAAAUAAAUGAAGGAAAGCAGGCGGAAGAAACCUGCAUCCAGCCGAGCUUAGAGCAGGAAGACGUCGUCUGUUUUAUGUCGCAGGUGUGUUGACCACGGUGGGCCAACAGAGCAGAGCACAGGGUUCCUGGAGAAUUUAGAUCUUUUCACUGUGUUUGGGCUCCGUCGAUGGAAAACAGGUAGUAAUUAAAGUCCUGCAACGACUUCAAUAUAUAAUAAAUCGACUUCAAUAUAUAAUAAAUCUGUUAAUGAUGAAGGUGUUAUAGGCCAAGAAUCUCCAGCCAUGAUGGUCUGUAGGUGUUCAGGAACCUUGUUGUGAAGUUUCACUACAUAAUGUUUCCAUUGAUUUUCAUAACUUUUUAAUUCUGGUGAUGUUGUGUUGGUGUCAGAUUGGGACUUGGUAUCAGCAGGUAGUAAACAUCGGAUGGUUCAGAUCAGAUCAGGUCAAUAAAACUUGAUCAAAACAUUCCUAACUCCCACCCUCUCAGAUCUGUGAGGAGUUAAACUGCUCUCCAGACAGCGCUGAAGGGAGGCUGUUGGAUGUGAUUGAGAUGGACAGAACAAACUUCAACUACCUCCUCCAAUGAGGACGUUUCAUCACGACAACACGCUGCUAAACUUCCACAUCUCCCAACGAGGUUUGGCAUGUCUGGGUGGCUCUCCGACGGAGCAACGUUAUCAGGAAACAGCAGCAUGUCAGUGUCAGGACCACUUUCACAGCCCCAUUACACCCCAGCUGUCGGACAGAAUUAUCUCUACGCUGGAUGUGUUAGGGGGCGUGGACGAACCGUCAAACUGUCCACGGCGCCUUUAGUUAGAUUAAGAUAACUUCAGCAUCCGUCCCACAGCUGAAACGGUUUAUAGAUAACGAUGACAGUCCACAGUUCUGUUCGUUAAUUUCACUUUAAGACAAGCCGACUGUCACAAGACGUUUUUACAGAAGCUUUAGUCUGACGGCUGAAAGUGUUUCAAUGUUUUGGUGACGUUCAGAGACGAAACAAAGAGUCUGGAGACGGCAUUCUGAAACAAGAGUCCAACUAUCACCAGUCAGAGGAAAAGCAGCAAAAGGAAACUUUAAUAGAAGUAGUAAGAGAUUCAUGGUUAAUUCAAAUGUGUCAGAGACACUAUGACCACAAAGUGAUCACAAAGAAACACAAAAUGAUUUGUAGAGACAGAAAGUGACCAUAAAAUGACUACAAAGAGACACAAACAGCCACAAAAUGACCACUAAGCAUAUGAAACAGCCAGAAAAUGACUAUGAAGAGACAAAAAAAAUGACAUAAAAAGCCACGAAGUUACACAAAAGAGUCACAAAAUGAC